rnacentral:lncRNA from 10 species
GCUCGGGUCACCUUCGACACCGUGGAAGCUUUGUUCUUUCGUCCUUUGCAAUAAAUCUUGCUACUGCUCACUCUUUGGGUCCACACUGCUUUUAUGAGCUGUAACACUCACCUCGAAGGUCUGCAGCUUCACUCCUGAGCCAGUGAGACCACGAACCCCCUAGAAGGAAAAAACUCCGAACACAUCCAAACAUCAGAAGGAACAAACUCCAGACGUGCCACUUUAAGAGCUGUAACACUCACCGCGAGGGUCCGUGGCUUCAUUCUUGAAGUCAGUGAGACCAAGAACCCACCAAUUUCGGACACACUAGGCUCUGACAAGCAACUCUGCAAAGCAGAAGUGAUGCUUGAAACCACAGCAGCCAUUUUGGGGCCACGAGGCAAUAAGCACAAGGAUAAAAAGCCAAGAACCAAAGAUGGAGAAUCAAGGGUGUAAUGAACCUAGAUGAUAUGAUAUGACAGAGUCCUGAACUGCUAGACUUCUUACUAGAUUAAGAAACUGAAGCCCAGAGAUGUUAUGUGACAUCCCUAAACAUAUACAACUGGCAUCUGAUGAUGACCUGAGGGUGAGGCAUAUGGUCAGAACUUCAGCAGAAGCAAACUACUCUACUUACAUAUUCUUAUAUAUAAAGCCAAGAUAAAACCAUGAUUGUCUUUUUGUGGCCAGGAAAUGUACUCAUGGAAGAAAGCCUACUUAUCGUCCUGCAAAUUGGUAAUUUUUCCGUGGUGACUUCUCUCCUUGAAUCCUGGAGUUCCCACCUGGAAUGUUCCUGGCUGCCUCUCUAGCAGUGAUGUGGCUGUCUGCUGAGGUGGCCUCUGCCUGUGCCAGGGCCAGCAGCAGCUUCCUGAUCCUGGCUUCCUGGUCCCAGUAUGGCAGCCACAGCUGCCUCCUCAUACUUUCAAAGCUGAUGAUAAAAUCACAGAAUCAGGAAUCCAGCUGCCACCACUGCUCUGACACAUUUUCAUGACCUGCUUGUCCACAGAUGUAGCAGCAGGGAGAUAGCUGCUGUCUUACUGCUGUGGUUUAGGUCUUGCCUAAGUGCAUCCAGAACCCUAGAUCCAAGAGAGUCUGGGAAAUGCAGAUUUUAGCUUUCCAGACUGCAGUACAGAAAAGUACAUAGAAAGAGGUGGAGUGAAUGGAGAGUGUCAAUCAACCAUACCCAGCAAAGUUAUACCGUGGGUUACAUGGAUUUUAAUUAGUAAAACAGAAGGAAUCAGUGAAGACUGCUGGGAACACUGAAUGGAGAGGCUUCAGGUUUCUUUAGUAUGGAGUUGAACUCAGGCCCAGUGGAGAUCAUUUCUUAAAAAUGGUAAAUGGAUAACUUUUUCCAACACAUAUGCCUUCUGCAACUAGAGUCAGCAUGCAAUAUACCAACAAAUAAAUCAAGAAUGGGAUUAUCUGUUUUCAAAAUUUGCCUGGGAACAAAAAGUAUUUGUAUCAGAGGCUGAUAUCCCUUGCCCCCUGCCCCAUAGCCAUUCUCUUCUUCUUCCUUUUAAUGACAGAAACCCCCAGAGUUUAAGAUAGACACAUGGCCAUCAAGCUAGCGCAUAGGUUGGAAAACUAUGGCCUGUGGGCUAAAUCCGGCCCACUGCUUUUUUUGUAAACACACUUUUCUUGGAUCACAGUGACACUCAUUUAUUUGUACAUUGUCUAUAGCUGCUUUCACACUACAGUGACAGAGCUGGAUAAUUGUGACAGAGACCACACAGCCUUCAAAGCUGAAAAUAUUGACUCUCUGGCCCUUUACAGAAAAAGUUUGUUGACUCCCGUGCUAAAGACUACAGUGUCUAGCCUCUCUUGCAGCUAUGUGAAAUCAUAUGACUAGCCUUGGUCCAUGGAGAUAUGAGUGAGGGUGAUACCUGUCACUUUUAUGCUUUGGCUUUAAAAUAUUUGAUGUAUAUCUUCUAUCCCUCUUCCUUUUUCCUGUAGGCUUACCACACUUUUAAUAUAAUGUACCAGAUAGUUAAUAUUUUAGACUUUGUGGGCCAUAGAGUCUCUGUCACAACUACUCCAGUCUGUCGUUGGAGCACAAAAGCAGCCAUAGACAACACAUAAACAAGUGAGCAUGGCUGUGUUCCAACAGCACUUCACUUACAAGAGCAGGUGGCACUACAGAUUUGACCUGCAGGCUGUAGUCUGCUGAUUUCUGCUCUUAGAGAUGACUGAGUAACACAAGGAAGGAACUCGAGUUCCUGAAUGAACACAUGGGAAAAAACUGCCCACCAACCUAGACCAUUCCCCCAAGACUUGUUGAUGAGAAAAACAAAUACCUGACUUAUUUAAGCCAUCGUAUGUUUGGGUCUCUCUGUUACCACAGCUUAGCCUUACAUGGUGCAUCUUGGGUUUGUAGAUGAUACCCAAACUUGAGAGAUAUUUUCUUUUUCUUUUUUUCCACUCUGUCCCUCAGGAUGGAGUGCAGUGGCAGGAUCUCAGCUCACUGAAACCUCUGCCUCCCUGGUUCAAGCGAUUCUCGUGCCUCAGCUUCCCAAGUAGCUGGGAUUACAGGCAUGCACCACCACGCCUGGCUAAUUUUCUGCAUUUUUAGUAGAGAUGGAGUUUCGCCAU